rnacentral:rRNA from 1 species
UUGCUCCGGGUGGAUGAGUGGCGAACGGGUGAGUAACACGUGAGUAACCUGCCCCUGACUUCGGGAUAAGCCCGGGAAACUGGGUCUAAUACCGGAUACGACCGCCGGACGCAUGUCUGGUGGUGGAAAGUUUUUUCGGUUGGGGAUGGGCUCGCGGCCUAUCAGUUUGUUGGUGAGGUAAUGGCUCACCAAGACGACGACGGGUAGCCGGCCUGAGAGGGCGACCGGCCACACUGGGACUGAGACACGGCCCAGACUCCUACGGGAGGCAGCAGUGGGGAAUAUUGCACAAUGGGGGAAACCCUGAUGCAGCGACGCAGCGUGCGGGAUGACGGCCUUCGGGUUGUAAACCGCUUUCAGCAGGGAAGAAGCGCAAGUGACGGUACCUGCAGAAGAAGUACCGGCUAACUACGUGCCAGCAGCCGCGGUAAUACGUAGGGUACGAGCGUUGUCCGGAAUUAUUGGGCGUAAAGAGCUCGUAGGUGGUUGGUCACGUCUGCUGUGGAAACGCAACGCUUAACGUUGCGCGUGCAGUGGGUACGGGCUGACUAGAGUGCAGUAGGGGAGUCUGGAAUUCCUGGUGUAGCGGUGAAAUGCGCAGAUAUCAGGAGGAACACCGGUGGCGAAGGCGGGACUCUGGGCUGUAACUGACACUGAGGAGCGAAAGCAUGGGGAGCGAACAGGAUUAGAUACCCUGGUAGUCCAUGCCGUAAACGUUGGGCACUAGGUGUGGGGGGCAUUCCACGUUCUCCGCGCCGUAGCUAACGCAUUAAGUGCCCCGCCUGGGGAGUACGGUCGCAAGGCUAAAACUCAAAGGAAUUGACGGGGGCCCGCACAAGCGGCGGAGCAUGCGGAUUAAUUCGAUGCAACGCGAAGAACCUUACCAAGGCUUGACAUACACCGGACCGUCCUGGAAACAGGUCCUCUUCUUUGAAGCUGGUGUACAGGUGGUGCAUGGUUGUCGUCAGCUCGUGUCGUGAGAUGUUGGGUUAAGUCCCGCAACGAGCGCAACCCUCGUUCUAUGUUGCCAGCACGUGAUGGUGGGAACUCAUAGGAGACUGCCGGGGUCAACUCGGAGGAAGGUGGGGAUGACGUCAAAUCAUCAUGCCCUUUAUGUCUUGGGCUUCACGCAUGCUACAAUGGCCUGGUACAGAGAGAGGCGAACCCGUGGAGGGCAAGCGAAUCCCUUAAAGCCAGUCUCAGUUCGGAUCGUAGUCUGCAAUUCGACUACGUGAAGUCGGAGUCGCUAGUAAUCGCAGAUCAGCAACGCUGCGGUGAAUACGUUCCCGGGCCUUGUACACACCGCCCGUCAAGUCACGA